GAUGAACGCUAGCGACAGGCUUAACACAUGCAAGUCGAGGGGCAGCACAAUGUAGCAAUACACGGGUGGCGACCGGCGCACGGGUGAGUAACGCGUAUGCAACUUGCCUAUCAGAGGGGGAUAACCCGUCGAAAGACGGACUAAUACCGCAUGAAACAGGGGCCCCGCAUGGGGAUAUUUGUUAAAGAAAAUCGCUGAUAGAUAGGCAUGCGUUCCAUUAGGUAGUUGGCGGGGCAACGGCCCACCAAGCCGACGAUGGAUAGGGGUUCUGAGAGGAAGGUCCCCCACAUUGGUACUGAGACACGGACCAA
rnacentral:rRNA from 1 species